GGAUUCACUAAACAUAUAUCCAAGUUGAUCAAUGUAGCACACUUCCAGUGAAGAGACGUGAAGUGUACAUUCAACUGAAGUGUCAUUGUAAUUGUGUACCUUCUCAGUUAUCAGAUAAGUCAAAGAGCAUGAUGAAUGUUUGUAGUAUAAUGGUGUAAAACCUUUUGAUUUCUUGCAUGAAGGACAUGUGGGAUCAUGUACCACCUGCUUUGACAUUGUUUCUCAGAUGUAUGAGUUGCUUCUCUGAUUUUAGAUCACAUUUAUCCUCAUCACUCGGCAUAUCCACAUUGAUAUUGACAUGGUUUUAUUUUAGUUUUAGACAUAUGACAUAUCAUACCAUGUUUGAAGCUGUAAGGGUAUAUUUUGUGAAGCCUGUGUUCCUUUUUCGUUUUCAGUGUAUUUCUAUCAUGUUCCGGUCCCUAGACAAAAAGUAGAAAACAUCAAAGCCUACACUAAUACAGGCAGGAAGAUACAGCUUGAUGCUAACACUGCAUUAUAUAUGGAUAACUUUAUCAUAUUUACAUAUGAGUGAUUAUGUAUCCCUUUUGCUUUUCAGUGUCUUCUCAGAAAAAAACAGCCUUGAAGGCGACAAGUGACAAGGAAGAUUCUGUUUCGAAUACAGCUACAGAAACAAA